AUGGCGAAGGCGAGGAGGCGUCGCGUGCCGGCGUUCGGGGAGUGGAACUACAACUACCACCACCACGAGCAGCAGGCACUUCCGCCGGCCGUUGUUGCACCGGCCGCGUGCUAUGCCACGCAGGAGCCGGAGCCGGAGGCCUGCAGCGACGUGUGGUUCAGGUACUCGCCGGCCCCGCGCAAACCCACGCCCAAGAAGCAGGCGAGGAGGCGGCACGAGGGCGACGUGUCCCGGGAGCAUUCGAAGGCGUCCUGGGACGCUUCCAGGCGGGUGGUGCGCCCGGUCGACGGGGACCUGUACCAGGUGCCACCGCCGGAGCUCGCCUCCCACCGGCGGCCAACGAAGAAGUGGAGCCUGUGGAUGGGAUGCCUGGGCCUCAGCUCAUGCGUCGCCUCCUGA
rnacentral:rRNA from 1 species